GAUGAACGCUGGCGGCGUGCCUAAUACAUGCAAGUCGAGCGAACAGACGAGGAGCUUGCUCCUCUGAUGUUAGCGGCGGACGGGUGAGUAACACGUGGAUAACCUACCUAUAAGACUGGGAUAACUUCGGGAAACCGGAGCUAAUACCGGAUAAUAUUUUGAACCGCAUGGUUCAAUAGUGAAAGACGGUUUUGCUGUCACUUAUAGAUGGAUCCGCGCUGCAUUAGCUAGUUGGUAAGGUAACGGCUUACCAAGGCAACGAUGCAUAGCCGACCUGAGAGGGUGAUCGGCCACACUGGAACUGAGACACGGUCCAGACUCCUACGGGAGGCAGCAGUAGGGAAUCUUCCGCAAUGGGCGAAAGCCUGACGGAGCAACGCCGCGUGAGUGAUGAAGGUCUUCGGAUCGUAAAACUCUGUUAUUAGGGAAGAACAAAUGUGUAAGUAACUAUGCACGUCUUGACGGUACCUAAUCAGAAAGCCACGGCUAACUACGUG
rnacentral:rRNA from 1 species